AGUUUGAUCAUGGCUCAGGAUGAACGCUGGCGGCGUGCCUAAUACAUGCAAGUCGAGCGAAUGGAUUGAGAGCUUGCUCUCAAGAAGUUAGCGGCGGACGGGUGAGUAACACGUGGGUAACCUGCCCAUAAGACUGGGAUAACUCCGGGAAACCGGGGCUAAUACCGGAUAAUAUUUUGAACUGCAUGGUUCGAAAUUGAAAGGCGGCUUCGGCUGUCACUUAUGGAUGGACCCGCGUCGCAUUAGCUAGUUGGUGAGGUAACGGCUCACCAAGGCAACGAUGCGUAGCCGACCUGAGAGGGUGAUCGGCCACACUGGGACUGAGACACGGCCCAGACUCCUACGGGAGGCAGCAGUAGGGAAUCUUCCGCAAUGGACGAAAGUCUGACGGAGCAACGCCGCGUGAGUGAUGAAGGCUUUCGGGUCGUAAAACUCUGUUGUUAGGGAAGAACAAGUGCUAGUUGAAUAAGCUGGCACCUUGACGGUACCUAACCAGAAAGCCACGGCUAACUACGUGCCAGCA
rnacentral:rRNA from 1 species